rnacentral:rRNA from 1 species
AAGCCAUGCAUGUCUCAGUGCAAGCCGUCUAGUACGGUGAAACCGCGAAAGGCUCAUUAAAUCAGUUAUGGUUCCUUAGAUCGUACCCACGUUACUUGGAUAACUGUGGUAAUUCUAGAGCUAAUACAUGCCGAUAGAGUUCCGACCAGCUGUCCGGAUUUGCGGCGGUUCUCCGUCGCUGCCGGACGUUCGGAAGGAACGCUUUUAUUAGAUCAAAACCGGCUAUAUGGUCGUCCUCCUCGCGAAGACGGCCAUACACGGCCCGCGCAAAGACUUGGUGACUCUGAAUAACUUCGAGCUGAUCGCACGGUCUCGUACCGGCGACGUAUCUUUCAAAUGUCUGCCUUAUCAACUGUCGACGGUAGGUUCGACGCCUACCGUGGUGGUAACGGGUAACGGGGAAUCAGGGUUCGAUUCCGGAGAGGGAGCCUGAGAAACGGCUACCACAUCCAAGGAAGGCAGCAGGCGCGCAAAUUACCCACUCCCAGUUCGGGGAGGUAGUGACGAAAAAUAACGAUACGGGACUCAUUCGAGGCCCCGUAAUCGGAAUGAGUACACUUUAAAACCUUGGUCAC